UUUGAGCGUGUCUCCCUUCCUGGGAAACCCUCUCGACCCACGAACCCUUGACCUCAAAUCGGGUGAGACUACCCGCUGAACUUAAGCAUAUCA
rnacentral:rRNA from 1 species